AGUGUGUGUGUAUGUGUAUAUGUGUGCCUGAGUGGGUGUAUGUAUAUGUUGAAGGGAGAGUAAAUAUGGGCAGAAGUCAAGAAAGUAGAAAGGAACCCAUGAGAGGAGAAAAGGAGGCUGAGAAUAGGGGCACCUCAAGGUAAUAUGAAGUUGGCAGGAGUACUGGAGUUGGAAGGGUCCAAGUGGGGUCAAGGAUGGAGAGGAGAGGAGCAGGUGGGAGACAAGGGUCAACCCAAAACUAAGUGUGCCCUAAAAAGCCAAAAGGUAAAAUGCUACCUCAUGUGCCGACAAUUGUGCUCUUGAAAAGGGAAAAGCUCCUCUGUCAGGGUCUCAGUUCCUUAUCUGAAAAAAAUAAUCUGAAGAUUAAGCCAAAUGUUCUUUAGUUCAAAAGUUUCUGUGUGCAUCAGCUCCUAUGUGGAGUUCUGAUGAGACAAACUCAGACCCAAAUGCUGUGAAGAACGCUGGGGCCUCUCUGCGAGGAGUGUUAACAACUUUCAUAAUGGGGCAGUGACUGAAGUGAAGGUGGUUAUGGAACAAGAGGAGGCUCCUGGAAAUGAGCAUGCGCUUUCAGCUGCUUCUGGCUGGGUGCCACCAAGAACCCUAAAUGAGGGCAGGAAGCUUUGUUGAUAAUUUGUCCCCCUCAGUAAAUGCAUUUCCUAUUUCUCCAUGUUUUGAAGAUGCUAAAGAAUGGAAUGCCUUGUAGAGUCACAUUCUAAGUUUGAUGACAAGUCUGUGAGGACAUUUUAAUAACUGCUCCUUGUAUCGCGUCUCGCAGCCUAUGAACACAUACUGUGUGCAUUGCCCUACUUUAUCGUCCCAAUGUGGUAGCAAUCAUGUGUUGUUUCCCUAGAGAACACAGUCUGAGUCAGGGCGGAGGGAUUCACUCCAGAAGACCAUCCAGGACAAAGCUGGAGAAAGAGUCAGCAUUCUUGGCUUCCAAUUUUCUCUUUAGUUCAGCACAAAGAUCAGGAGUCCUCAGAGUCCUUUAGCCAAGCUGUGAGUUGCAGCCAUGGGCCAAGGUCCAAUCAUCUCACCUCUAAAGAGCCAGCUGAAGUAGACUCAAGUCAUCUCAGCUCCUUCCUCCAGGGAUCAGGAUGACGUUGGGGCCGACUCUGAGACUUUUCCAUCGUUCCCCCCUCUCAAACCUGGAAAAUUCUGGACCCCCACACCCUACAGAUAAAAACCUCUUCCCUCUUUGUACUAGAGAAUGAUGGGGUUUAGUCAGGUGGGCAGGCUUCUCAGGACUGCCUCAACAGGUUUGGCAGCUCUGACAGGCUCCACCAUAGGCUCCAACAUCUGCUUUCACUAGACCCACCUCCUUAUCGGAGAGUCCCUGGGUCCCAUUGAGCUCUGCCAGAGGUCAUGCCCCACUUCAUGAAUCAUUCUUGACUCAUUUUACAAUGCCGCCUUUUCAAGAAAAAUACAAAGACUGUGUUUACCCUGAGUCAUGGUAUUCUGUCAUCUACCACGAACAAAAGGAAAUUUUUAAAAAGUGAAUUCACUUUAUCUACGCAUCUUUGUUUUAUCCUUUGUGAGUUGUUCAAGCCAGGCCAAAGUUUAGAGAAGGACAUAGUGAGUGCAUGCCUGUAAUCCUAGCACUUGGUGGUGGUAAGGUGUCCUAGAGCUCAGGACCAACCCCAGUGAGCUACAUAGUGAAUUGCAGGCCACCCUGGGAUACAUGAGAUCUCAACAAUACUAUCCCAGAGUGACUGUUUUCCUUCUCAGGAUUUGGAAUAUUCUGCCUUCUGACCUAGGUAGCUAGAGAGAAAAAGAAAGCAAGGUUUGAUACUAGAUAUCACUUGGCUGUGUACUAGCAAUGUGAUCUUGGGAUAAUUUAGCUUCUCUCAAACCUGUCAUCCUUUAAAAGAGAAUAGCAGUGCUUAUCUUGAUGACAACAUUGUGAAGAUAUAUCAUCUAUGAAGUAUCUGAUACAAUAUCACUCUCCUCCAAUUCUUAUAUAAGAUGAGCAAGACAGUAGACAGGUAAUGUUGGGUAGUUUGAGACAUAGCCCUUGGACCAUAGCUAUGUCACUGAUAAAAUUGAGUUGUAGACAUGAUUUUUGCAAGAGGAUUGAGAACUGGUGAUAACAGAGUUCAUCACAGCAUUGGGCUAUGGUAGACCAUAAAGAAAUGCAUAGUCACAGCUAUACCUAUCUCAGAAGUCUCCAGCAGGGACCAGUAUCUCUAGCAAAUAGGCCCCAGGAAGGUAAAAAGUCAUUAGAUCAGAAUCAGUGCAGAAGAAUGAAGGCUGGGACAAAAAAGGAGGCACCACUGAGUUCUAAGCCACCAAAAGGUCAAACAAAGAUCAAUACCUAGAGGUGUAUAGCAAGAUGCCCAGGCAGGACAUGGGACCUGGAAGGAACCUGCCUCUUGGACCUGCUACUACAUAUAGCCAGUCAUAUGAUGUGUCUUCCAUGGCUUUGUGAUCACACAGUCACCCCGAUGGGUCUGAAGGCCUGCAUCAUCAAUGCAGGCUGCCAGACAAGGCUCUACAGAGGCCAGAAAUCAUGAAGCAGGACCCUGGAAGAGACUGGUCACUACUUGGAUGAUCAUGGUUGUCACAGAGACCCUGGCAUCGUGCCCAUGACUGUCACAGCUAGAAUGUCUGCUAUUAUUUGGGUGGAAAGUUUCAGGACACAAGUAGUCAUUGGAAAUGGAAAUGUUCUUGUUACCAGCAUUUGAAAAGUUGAGUUGCACCUUGUGAUGCUUCCAGAAGGCAUCUUUCCAAUUAUGUGGUAUGUCCAGUGUUCCAACACGAACCACAGAUUCCCCCAAGGUCACCUUCCUGCACUCUUCUGGAAUGUCCACAGGAAAGACCAUGAAGAGCCAAAGGGAGUGGAUGGAACCUUCUUGUACAAAAGGCCCUCUGCAUUCUCUGCCCAGCUAUGAGAGGACAGUCCUUCGCCAGACUCUGUUGUGAGCUGUCCACACCACUCAUAUUUGGCUCCAUCACCUCUCCCAUCCACUAAAUUCUUCAUGUUCCUUUCCAACCUCACCUUAAGUGUUUCAGCGCCAUAUCUUCCUCCUGAAUCAGAGUAAAGUAAGAAUAUGUUCAUGUUUUAUAAAUAUAUUAAACAACCUAAAUUCUAGCAGA